GAGAUUAGACGUUCCCUUCGGGGACAUGGAUACAGGUGGUGCAUGCUUGUCGUCAGCUCGUGUCGUGAGAUGUUGGGUUAAGUCCCGCAACGAGCGCAACCCUUAUUAUCAGUUGCCAGCAUUAAGUUGGGCACUCUGGUGAGACUGCCGGUGACAAACCGGAGGAAGGUGGGGAUGACGUCAAAUCAUCAUGCCCCUUAUGACCUGGGCUACACACGUGCUACAAUGGAUGGUACAACGAGUUGCGAACUCGCGAGAGUAAGCUAAUCUCUUA
rnacentral:rRNA from 1 species